GGUGUAGAGAUACAUUCGUGCCGGAGUUAACGCGAUAAGCAUUCCGCCUGGGGAGUACGGUCGCAAGAUUGAAACUCAAAGGAAUUGACGGGGGCCCGCACAAGCGGUGGAGCACGUGGUUUAAUUCGAUGCAAACCGAAGAACCUUACCUGGGUUUGACAUGUACGUGGUACGGAUYUGAAAGGUGRAGGACCUUGUYUUCGGAUGAGGAGCGUACACAGGUGCUGCAUGGCUGUCGUCAGCUCGUGUCGUGAGAUGUUGGGUUAAGUCCCGCAACGAGCGCAACCCCUGCUGCCAGUUGCCAACGGGUGAAGCCGGGCACUCUGGCGGGACUGCCAUCGACAAGAUGGAGGAAGGUGGGGAUGACGUCAAGUCAUCAUGGCCCCUAUGUCCAGGGCGACACACGUGCUACAAUGGUCGGCACAGCGGGAAGCGAGGCAGUGAUGCCAAGCGGAUCCCUUAAAGCCGGUCUCAGUUCGGAUUGAAGUCUGCAACUCGACUUCAUGAAGCUGGAAUCGCUAGUAAUCGCAGAUCAGCCAAGCUGCGGUGAAUACGUUCCCGGGCCUUGUACACACCGCCCGUCACACCACCCGAGUUGGGUGCACCCGAAGCCGGCGGCCUAACCUUUCGAGGAAGGAGCUGUCGAAGGUKYCGKSCGGUGAGGGGGGUGAAGUCGUAACAAGGUAGCCGUACCGGAAGGUGCGGCUGGAUCACCUCCUUUCUAAGGAGAUCUGCAACAACAGGCAGACCUCGAAGACAAGCAGGGAUCGCACACCUCUUCCCUUCUCCUAUAAGCUAAUCCCCAUGUAUCUCGACAACUUCAUAGAGGAAGAAGAACUGAAAAGAGGAAAAGGUAGUAAGGGCACACGGUGGAUGCCUUGGCGCCAUCAGCCGAUGAAGGACGCAGCAAGCUGCGAAAAUCUCCGGGGAGAAGCAAGCAUUCCGUGAUCCGGAGGUCUCCGAAUGGGGCAACCC
rnacentral:sRNA from 1 species